rnacentral:rRNA from 1 species
GACGAACGCUGGCGGCGUGCCUAAUACAUGCAAGUAGAACGCAGUUGCGAACGGGUGAGUAACGCGUAGGUAACUGCCUCAUAGCGGGGGAUAACUAUUGUAAACGAUAGCUAAUACCGCAUAUUGUGAGAUGGACCUGCUUUGGAUUAGCUAGUUGGUGAGGUAAAGGCUCAUCAAGGCGACGAUACAUAGCCGACCUGAGAGGGUGACUCGCCACACGGGGACUAAGACACGGCCCAAACUCCUACGGGAGGCAGCAGUAGGGAAUUUGCGGCAAUGGACGGAAGUCUGACCGAGCAACGCCGCGUGAGUGAAGAGGGUUUUCGGAUCGUAAAGCUCUGUUGUUGGAGCAGCGGUAACUAACCAGAAAGGAACGUCUUACUACGUGCCAGCAGCCGCGGUAAUUC